rnacentral:rRNA from 1 species
UUGGAAACGACAGCUAAUACCGCAUAAUAUUGCUGGAUAAUUUCCAGUAAUGAAAGGAGCUUUCAAGCUCCGCUGAUUGAUGAGGAUGCGGCGCAUUAGCUAGUUGGUAGGGUAAUGGCCUACCAAGGCAAUGAUGCGUAGCCGAUCUGAGAGGAUGAACGGCCACAUUGGGACUGAGACACGGCCCAAACUUCUACGGAAGGCAGCAGUAGGGAAUUUUUCACAAUGGGCGAAAGCCUGAUGGAGCAAUGCCGCGUGACUGAUGAAGGUCUUCGGAUUGUAAAGGUCUGUUGUAAGGGAAGAAAUGGUAAAACAGGAAAUGGUUUUAUCUAUGACGGUACCUUACCAGAAAGCCACGGCUAACUAUGUGCCAGCAGCCGCGGUAAUACAUAGGUGGCAAGCGUUAUCCGGAUUUAUUGGGCGUAAAGGGUGCGUAGACGGUUUUGCAAGUCUGAGGUUAAAUUUAGGAGCUCAACUCCUAAUCGCCUUGGAAACUACAAGACUAGAGUAUAGGAGAGGUUAGUGGAAUUCCACGUGUAGCGGUGGAAUGUGUAGAUAUAUGGAGGAACACCAGUGGCGAA